rnacentral:lncRNA from 1 species
AAGUUUACCCCCAGAACUUUUGUUACACGGCCUUUAAAGUUUUCCAUUUAAAAAAAAGAAAACUAGAUUACAAUACAACAAUGAAAUUGUGCCUAAUUAAAGGGAUGUUAUUAUUGUAGAUUAUAAUACAACAUUGAAAUUGUGCCUAAUUAAGGAGAUACUACUAUUGUAGUGAUUUUAAAAUCCCUUAGAGAAUAGGGCAAGAUUUAAAAAUAUAACAAGAUAAGUGAUUGUUCUCAUUUUUUGUGAAGCCUACUGA